UACGUAGGGUGCAAGCGUUGUCCGGAAUUAUUGGGCGUAAAGAGCUCGUAGGCGGUCUGUCGCGUCGAAUGUGAAAACCCGGGGCUCAACCCCGGGCCUGCACUCGAUACGGGCAGACUAGAGUUCGGUAGGGGAGUCUGGAAUUCCUGGUGUAGCGGUGAAAUGCGCAGAUAUCAGGAGGAACACCGGUGGCGAAGGCGGGUCUCUGGGCCGUAACUGACGCUGAGGAGCGAAAGCGUGGGGAGCGAACAGG
rnacentral:rRNA from 1 species